GAUGAACGCUGGCGGCGUGCCUAACACAUGCAAGUCGAGCGAACGGACGAGAAGCUUGCUUCUCUGAUGUUAGCGGCGGACGGGUGAGUAACACGUGGAUACCCUACCUAUAAGACUGGGAUCACUUCGGGAAACCGUAGCUAAUACCGGAUAAUAUUUUGAACCGCAUGGUUCAAAAGUGAAAGACGGUCUUGCUGUCUCUUAUAGAUGGAUCCGCGCUGCAUUAGCUAGUUGGUAAGGUAACGGCUUACCAAGGCAACGAUGCAUAGCCGACCUGAUAGGGGGAUCGGCCGCCUUAGAGCGUGGACACGGUCCAGACGCCUACGAGAGGCAGCAGUAGGGAAUCUGACGCAGUGGGCGGAAGCCUGGCGGAGCGAGGCGACGUGAGUGAUAGAGAUCUUCGGAUCGUGAAACUCGGUUAUUAGUGGUGAACAUAUGUGUAAGUAGCUGUACACAGCGUGACGGUACCUAAUCAGAAAGCCACGGCUAACUACGUG
rnacentral:rRNA from 1 species